rnacentral:rRNA from 1 species
UACAGAGGUCUCAAGCGUUGUUCGGAUUCAUUGGGCGUAAAGGGUGCGUAGGUGGCGGGGUAAGUCAGGUGUGAAAUCUCGGGGCUCAACCCCGAAACUGCAUUUGAUACUGCCUUGCUCGAGUACUGGAGAGGAGAUUGGAAUUUACGGUGUAGCAGUGAAAUGCGUAGAUAUCGUAAGGAAGACCAGUGGCGAAGGCGAGUCUCUGGACAGUUACUGACGCUGAGGCACGAAGGCCAGGGGAGCAAACGGG